GAUGAACGCUGGCGGCGUGCCUAAUACAUGCAAGUCGAGCGAACAGACGAGGAGCUUGCUCCUCUGACGUUAGCGGCGGACGGGGGAGUAACACGAGGAUAACCUACCUAUAAGACUGGGAUAACUUCGGGAAACCGGAGCUAAUACCGGAUAAUAUAUUGAACCGCACGGAUCAAUAGUGAAAGACGGUUUUGCUGUCACUUAUAGAUGGAUCCGCGCCGCAUUAGCUAGUUGGUAAGGUAACGGCUUACCAAGGCAACGAUGCGUAGCCGACCUGAGAGGGUGAUCGGCCACACUGGAACUGAUACACGGUCCAGACGCCUACGGGAGGCAGCAGUAGGGAAUCUUCCGCAAUGGGCGAAAGCCUGACGGAGCAACGCCGCGUGAGUGAUGAAGGUCUUCGGAUCGUAAAACUCUGUUAUUAGGGAAGAACAAAUGUGGCAUUAACUAUGCACGUCUUGACGGUACCUGAUCAGAAAGCCACGGCUAACUACGUG
rnacentral:rRNA from 1 species